CGAGCCACUUGAUCAAUAAAUCAAUCUGUUCCGAGUCAGAUACUUGUAACUCGUCUGUCACGUUUUUAAAGCUUGCUUUCCAUGUAUGGAAGGAUUCUGCCCGAUCGUUAAAGCUUGUUAAUCGGGAGAAAAGCAGGUCCUUACGCAAGAGAAAUCUAGUAAUCUCCGAUGUUGGGUUGAUUUGUUGCUGGUGUGCAACAGGGAUCUCUUCUAUUACGCCUUGUUUUUGGUGUGAAACAGGGAUCUCUUCUAUAACGUCUUGUUUUGUGCGUAAGACAGGGAUCGCUUCUUUAACACCCUGUUUUUGGUGUUCAGCAGGGAUCUCAUCUGAAAGGCCUAGUUUUUGUAUGCCGGUUACUAAUCCCAGAUCUGGGAUAGAGGUAACUUCCGGUGACUUAGUAUCGGAAGGCAAGACAGCAGAUGUCUGUGACAGUAAGUUCAGUGCCACGGAUGGCACGAACGCUGGUGCUUCGUGACUCAGCUCGAUAUGAACAGGAAUUUGUUUUUUCUUUUGAGGUCCUGUUACUUCCUUUACAGCAGUUGAUACAGGAAGUUUAUUUACGAAAUCUUGCACACGCUGGAGCGGGUCUUCCUUUUCGUUAGGGAGAUCGCUAAACGCUUGGCUGUCGUCGUAUUCCAGGAUACGAGCCUCGGCUUCUGCGGCUGCAGCCUCUCUGCGUGCUUCUAGAAGGUUUAACUUGGCCUUCAGCUCGGCUUUUUCUCGGCUAACACGUGCAGCCUC
rnacentral:lncRNA from 1 species